rnacentral:tRNA from 1 species
GUUCCUGUAGUUAAAUUUAUAACAAUGGCUUUUCAUGCCAUAGACCUUGGAUAGAGGCCAGGCAGGAACU